UACGUAGGUGGCAAGCGUUGUCCGGAUUUACUGGGCGUAAAGAGCGCGCAGGCGGUCGUUUAAGGCGAAUGUGAAAGCCCCCGGCUCAACUGGGGAGGGUCAUUCGAUACUGAUCGACUUGAAGGCAGGAGAGAGAAGUGGAAUUCCCGGUGUAGUGGUGAAAUGCGUAGAUAUCGGGAAGAACAUCGGUGGCGAAGGCGCUCUACCGGACCACAACUGACACUCAGGGACGAAAGCUAGGGGAGCGAAUGGG
rnacentral:rRNA from 1 species